GGGUCACGGCAGGCAAAACAUAGAUGGCAGAAAGUAUAUGAUAGAUUGAAAACUGCUGGUGUAGUAGAGGAGAUUAAUGUAAAAGUGAAUGGGAAGGAUAAGCGGUGUUUGCAUUUGCUAAAAAAAAUUCACGUUCGGAUUUUGAGAAAAAUACGAUCAGAUGUGUUGAAGGCAAAGAGCUGAAAUUGGGAAGAUUUC